CGUGCCUAACACAUGCAAGUCGAGCGAGAAAGUUCCCUUCGGGGAGCGAGUACAGCGGCGGACGGGUGAGUAACGCGUGGACGAUCUACCCAAGGAUUCGGGAUAACCUUGCGAAAGCGGGGCUAAUACCGAAUGGUCUGGGCAUUUUAAAAUGUGCCUGGUAAAGGUGGCCUCUGAUGUAAGCUAUCGUCUUUGGAUGGGUCCGCGCCCCAUUAGCUUGUUGGUAGGGUCAUGGCCUACCGAGGCGACGAUGGGUAGCUGGUCUGAGAGGAUGAUCAGCCACACUGGGACUGGAACACGGCCCAGACUCCUACGGGAGGCAGCAGUGGGGAAUAUUGGGCAAUGGGCGCAAGCCUGACCCAGCAACGCCGCGUGAGGGAAGAAGGUCUUCGGAUCGUAAACCUCAGUCAGGAGGGAAGAAAUGGGUUGUCCUGAACAGGGAUGGCCUUUGACGGUACCUCCAGAGGAAGCACCGGCCAACUCCGUGCCAGCAGCCGCGGUAAUACGGAGGGUGCAAGCGUUGUUCGGAAUUACUGGGCGUAAAGCGCGCGUAGGCGGACUAUUAAGUCAGAUGUGAAAUCCCGGGGCUCAACCUCGGAACUGCAUUUGAAACUGGUAGUCUAGAGGCCAGGAGAGGUUAGUGGAAUGCCGAGUGUAGAGGUGAAAUUCGUAGAUAUUCGGUGGAACACCAGUGGCGAAGGCGACUGACUGGACUGGUACUGACGCUGAGGUGCGAAAGUGUGGGGAGCAAACAGGAUUAGAUACCCUGGUAGUCCACACCGUAAACGAUGAGUGCUAGUUGUCGGCAGGCAUGCCUGUCGGUGACGCAGCUAACGCAUUAAGCACUCCGCCCGGGGAGUACGGCCGCAAGGUUAAAACUCAAAGAAAUUGACGGGGGCCCGCACAAGCGGUGGAGCAUGUGGUUUAAUUCGAAGCAACGCGCAGAACCUUACCUACCCUUGACAUGCCCGGUUUGGUCGCCAGAGAUGGCUUCCUUGAUUCGUUCGCCGGUGCACAGGUGCUGCAUGGCUGUCGUCAGCUCGUGUCGUGAGAUGUUGGGUUAAGUCCCGCAACGAGCGCAACCCUCAUCCUUAGUUGCCAUCAGGUUUGGCUGGGCACUCUAAGGAAACUGCCGGUGGCAAGCCGGAGGAAGGUGGGGAUGACGUCAAGUCCUCAUGGCCCUUACGGGUAGGGCUACACACGUGCUACAAUGGCAGUGACAAUGGGA
rnacentral:rRNA from 1 species